GGUGAGAUGGCCGAGCGGUCUAAGGCGCCAGACUAAGGCAUUUGAAUUAAAUGACAAUCUGGUCCGAAAGGGCGUGGGUUCGAAUCCCACUCUCAUCA
rfam:Phlebia centrifuga strain FBCC195 PHLCENscaffold_28, whole genome shotgun sequence.